rnacentral:rRNA from 1 species
GAGGAAUAUUGGUCAAUGGGAGAGAUCCUGAACCAGCCAAGCCGCGUGAGGGAAGACGCCCUAUGGGUUGUAAACCUCUUUUGUCGGAGAACAAAACCCGGGACGAGUACCCGGACUGCGUGUAUCCGAAGAAAAAGCAUCGGCUAACUUCC